GUUAUACUUGGGUGAGAGUGGU
rnacentral:misc_RNA from 1 species